AUGGUCCGGUGAMGUGUUCGGAUCGCGGCGACGUGGCCGGUUCGCGGCCCGCGACGUCGCGAGAAGUCCACUGAACCUUAUCAUUUAGAGGAAGGAGAAGUCGUAACAAGGUUUCCGUAGGUGAACCUGCGGAAGGAUCAU
rnacentral:rRNA from 1 species